rnacentral:misc_RNA from 1 species
AAGACUAUAGACCUGCGGAGUACCUGCGGAGGGAUCAUUACCGAGUUUACAACUCCCAAACCCCCUGUGAACUUAUACCAUUACUGUUGCUUCGGCGGGUUAUUGCCCCGGGGAAGGACAGGCUGCCGCAAGGUGCCCUGCCGCCCCCCCGGAAACAGGCGCCCGCCGGGGGACUUAAACUCUAUAUUUUUUUCUUGUUUUAGUGUAUACUGUCUGAGUAAAAAAACAUAAUGAAUCAAA